GACGAACGCUGGCGGCGUGCCUAAUACAUGCAAGUCGAACGCUGUUGCGAACGGUGGAGUAACGCGUAGGUAACUGCCUCAUAGCGGGGGUUAACUAUUGGAAACGCUAGCUAAUACCUCAUACUUUGAGAUGGACCUUCGUGUUAUUAGCUAGUUGGUGAGGUAAAGGCUCACCAAGGCGACGAUGCAUAACCGGCCUGAGAGGGGGAUCGGCCGAAAUGGGACUGAGAGACGGCCCAGACUCCUACGGGAGGCAGCAGGGGGGAAACUGCGGCAAUGGACGGAAGUCUGAACGGUGAACGCCGGGGGAGAGAAGAAGGUUUUCGGAGCGGAAAGCUCUGUUGGUAGAGAAGCGGUAACUAACCAGAAAGGGACGGCUAACUACGUGCCAGCAGCCGCGGUAAUUC
rnacentral:rRNA from 1 species